GCGUUAAUCGGAUUACUGGGCGUAAAGGGAGCGUAGGUGGCUCGAUAAGUCAGAUGUGAAAUCCCCGGGCUCAACCUGGGAACUGCAUCUGAUACUGUUGAGCUAGAGUAUGUGAGAGGAAGGUAGAAUUCCAGGUGUAGCGGUGAAAUGCGUAGAGAUCUGGAGGAAUACCGAUGGCGAAGGCAGCCUUCUGGCAUAAUACUGACACUGAGGCUCGAAAGCGUGGGUAGCAAACAGGAUUAGAUACCCUGGUAGUCCACGCCGUAAACGAUGUCUACUAGUCGUUGGGUCCCUUGAGGACUUAGUGACGCAGCUAACGCAAUAAGUAGACCGCCUGGGGAGUACGGCCGCAAGGUUAAAACUCAAAUGAAUUGACGGGGGCCCGCACAAGCGGUGGAGCAUGUGGUUUAAUUCGAUGCAACGCGAAGAACCUUACCUGGUCUUGACAUAUCUAGAAUCCUGCAGAGAUGCGGGAGUGCCUUCGGGAAUUAGAAUACAGGUGCUGCAUGGCUGUCGUCAGCUCGUGUCGUGAGAUGUUGGGUUAAGUCCCGCAACGAGCGCAACCCUUGUCCUUAGUUACCAGCGGGUUAAGCCGGGAACUCUAAGGAUACUGCCAGUGACAAACUGGAGGAAGGCGGGGACGACGUCAAGUCAUCAUGGCCCUUACGACCAGGGCUACACACGUGCUACAAUGGUAGGUACAGAGGGCAGCUACACAGCGAUGUGAUGCGAAUCUCAAAAAGCCUAUCGUAGUCCAGAUUGGAGUCUGCAACUCGACUCCAUGAAGUAGGAAUCGCUAGUAAUCGCGGAUCAGAAUGCCGCGGUGAAUACGUUCCCGGGCCUUGUACACACCGCCCGUCACACCAUGGGAGUUGAUUGCACCAGAAGUGGAUAGCUUAACCCUUCGGGGGAGCGUUCACCAACGGUGUGUUUGAUGACUGGGGUGAAGUCGUAACAAGGUAACC
rnacentral:rRNA from 1 species